rnacentral:tRNA from 1 species
CCCUGGGUGGUGCAACAGUUAACACACUUGGCUGCUAACCAAGAGAUUGGAGGUUUGAAUCCACCCAAAGGCA